UUGCCUAAAAUGGGCAAUGCAGGUGCACUGGGAUGACUCUAUCCCACAAAAAUGUAUAGGGCAUGGGAUGUAUAACGUACUGACAUAAAAAAAAAAGGGAUUUGGCCAGUAUAUUAGUCCUGCUAGAGCCAUAAAGAGGGUUGUACUGAGUCUUACUUGUUUAAGAGGCUGGCUUUAUUCAAAAAUGUGUGUGCAUUGGAUUGCUUGGAGGAUUCAGCAGACACUGUUGCAUGAUGGGUAAGCAGUAUGCAAAUCAGAAGCCUUAAGCCAAGAAUAGCAAAUUGGUCAAGAAAACUGUGGCUUUCAGAGAAGCAGCCUAGUGCAAGUGUCAGCAAGCGUUACGAGAUAAUCUCUGAUGUGAAAAAGUGGGAUUUGUCUGCAUGGUCAAAUGAAGCACACAGCCAUAUGUCCAGAACAGCCAGCAGGAGAUGCUUUGUUUUCCCUGUCACUGGAG